GGAGCAACUGCACCCCAAACCAUCUCUGAUAGAGGGGUGAAGUGAGAUCCUGCCCUGCAACCCAGACAAUGACAGCAGAGCUGGCACCAGCAUCCCUCCCACAUCAGAGGCUGACCAACUCAAUCCUGCUUUAGAAGCAAGCUGCAGGCAUCAGCAAAUAACACCACGGAUGAAGGAGAAGGAAAAACUGCGGGAGUGUUGAUGUUUUCACCAGACUACAGGUUUCGGAAAAUGGAGAGAAGCUCUCAAACAUGAAGAGACUGAAGGCCACCUUCACUUACAGUUGAAAAACAGGAGGAAUCCUACAAGCCUUGAAGAUCCCUUGACUAAGUUUAGGUCAGUUUAUAAGCAAAUAACUGCAAAAGUUACAAAAUAAUCCCAUAAACACACAAAAACAUUAGCUGUAUGAUGGGUAAAUGGUUAUCAUUAUACCUGCUUAACAUUAGCAUGAUCACUAUUGGCAUGUUAGCAGUCUGUCAAAUCACUAUUGUGCCAUUAGCAAGGCAGAACACUCAGUUUUAAGAACAAUUAGUGUGAUCAGGCCAUUUGUCUCAUCACAAAUGCUGAGUCUGUGUUUGUGUUGUAAAAAGAGUCAGGAAAGCCUGACCUGAAACACUGAUACUACAGUUACUGCACAUGGCUGCUUUGGACCUCUUGACCAUCAGAAUACCCAAACAUUUCCCCCCUGUAAGGGGUCACAAGGUGGAGGUCAGUGACCACAUGGUUUAAGGGUUAUCGCAUUAAAAGCUUCAUCUAGCAAUCAAACUGAGACCUCAAAAACUAAGCUUUGCUAGAGGCAGCACUUUUUCCAACAAAUCAAUAACAACA